ACAGAGGUGGCAAACGUUGUCCGGAAUUACUGGGUGUAAAGGGCAUGUAGGUGGUUCCAUAAGUCAAAGGUGAAAUGGCCCGGCUUAACCGAGUCACUGCCUUUGAUACUGCGGGACUUGAGUACGGAAGAGGAGAGUGGAAUUCCCAGUGUAGCGGUGAAAUGCGUAGAUAUUGGGAGGAACACCGGUGGCGAAGGCGGCUCUCUGGUCCGAUACUGACACUGAAAUGCGAAAGCCAGGGGAGCAAACGGGA
rnacentral:rRNA from 1 species